CCAGGCUCGAACGGCAGGGGAAUCGGCCAGAGAUGGCCGGGUCUUCGGACUCCUGUCGAGGUGCUGCAUGGUUGUCGUCAGCUCGUGCCGUGAGGUGUCGGCUUAAGUGCCAUACCGAGCGCAACCCUUGCCGCCAGUUGCCAGCAGGUCAAGCUGGGGACUCUGGCGGGACUGCCACCGCAAGGUGAGAGGAAGGGGGGGAUGACGUCAAAUCAGCACGGCCCUUACGUCUGGGGCGACACACGUGUUACAAUGGCGGCUACAGAGGGAAGCUGCCCCGCGAGGGGUGGCGGAUCCGGAAAAGGCCGUCUCAGUUCGGACUGGAGUCUGCAACCCGACUCCACGAAGCUGGAUUCGCUAGUAAUCGCGCAUC
rnacentral:rRNA from 1 species